rnacentral:rRNA from 1 species
AGAGUUUGAUCCUGGCUCAGAGCGAACGCUGGCGGCAGGCUUAACACAUGCAAGUCGAGCGGGCAUCUUCGGAUGUCAGCGGCAGACGGGUGAGUAACACGUGGGAACGUACCCUUCGGUUCGGAAUAACGCUGGGAAACUAGCGCUAAUACCGGAUACGCCCUUUUGGGGAAAGGUUUACUGCCGAAGGAUCGGCCCGCGUCUGAUUAGCUAGUUGGUGGGGUAACGGCCUACCAAGGCGACGAUCAGUAGCUGGUCUGAGAGGAUGAUCAGCCACACUGGGACUGAGACACGGCCCAGACUCCUACGGGAGGCAGCAGUGGGGAAUAUUGGACAAUGGGCGCAAGCCUGAUCCAGCCAUGCCGCGUGAGUGAUGAAGGCCUUAGGGUUGUAAAGCUCUUUUGUCCGGGACGAUAAUGACGGUACCGGAAGAAUAAGCCCCGGCUAACUUCGUGCCAGCAGCCGCGGUAAUACGAAGGGGGCUAGCGUUGCUCGGAAUCACUGGGCGUAAAGGGCGCGUAGGCGGCCAUUCAAGUCGGGGGUGAAAGCCUGUGGCUCAACCACAGAAUUGCCUUCGAUACUGUUUGGCUUGAGUAUGGUAGAGGUUGGUGGAACUGCGAGUGUAGAGGUGAAAUUCGUAGAUAUUCGCAAGAACACCGGUGGCGAAGGCGGCCAACUGGACCAUUACUGACGCUGAGGGCGAAAGCGUGGGGAGCAAACAGGAUUAGAUACCCUAGUAGUCC